rnacentral:misc_RNA from 1 species
AGACUCAUAAAUUCGACCACCAUUUUAACAGCUUCAUCCUUAGGCAGCGUGUGUAGUGGCCCAGUCAACCUCUUUAGAAAUAGAGUAAGGUUCUCAACUCUUAGGUGUUCCCUCCCUGAGCAGGAUUCGCGAGAAGCAAGAAUGUGAACGUGCAAAUCCUCCAAAAGCCUCAUAUUUUUUCCAAACGUUGAAUUUUUUCCCAGCCAUGCACCAAAUCUAUUAAAAU